UACGGAGGGUGCAAGCGUUAUCCGGAUUCACUGGGUUUAAAGGGUGCGUAGGUGGGUUGGUAAGUCAGUGGUGAAAUCUCCGAGCUUAACUCGGAAACUGCCAUUGAUACUAUCAAUCUUGAAUCAUCUGGAGGUAAGCGGAAUAUGUCAUGUAGCGGUGAAAUGCUUGGAUAUGACAUAGAACACCAAUUGCGAAGGCAGCUGACUACGCGAAUAUUGACACUGAUGCACGAAAGCGUGGGGAUCAAACAGG
rnacentral:rRNA from 1 species